rnacentral:rRNA from 1 species
UACGGAGGAUCCGAGCGUUAUCCGGAUUUACUGGGUGUAAAGGGAGCGUAGACGGUUCAGCAAGUCUGAUGUGAAAACCCGGGGCUCAACUCCGGGAUUGCAUUGGAAACUGUUGAACUAGAGUGCAGGAGAGGUAAGUGGAAUUCCUAGUGUAGCGGUGAAAUGCGUAGAUAUUAGGAGGAACACCGGCGGCGAAGGCGGCUUACUGGACUGUAACUGACGUUGAGGCUCGAAAGCGUGGGGAGCAAAC